GAUUUCUGGUGUGGUGCGCCGAGCCCGCAUCCGUUUAGGUUGUGAGUGCUUGCUGCGCGCCUACCAUCCUUCCGGAGAGGCCGAUCUGCCCUUAACUGGAACGGGUCGCGUCGAUCUGGAUCGUUUACUUUGAAAAAAUUAGAGUGUUUAAAGCAGGCGUUUGCUAUGAAUACAUUAGCAUGGAAUAAUAAGAUAGGACUUUGGUUCUAUUUUGUUGGUUUCUAGGACUGAAGUAAUGAUUGAUAGGGACAGUUGGGGGUGCUAGUAUUUAACGGCCAGAGGUGAAAUUCUUGGAUUCGUUAAAGACUAACUUAUGCGAAAGCAUU
rnacentral:rRNA from 2 species